UACGUAGGGUGCGAGCGUUAAUCGGAAUUACUGGGCGUAAAGCGUGCGCAGGCGGUUUUGUAAGUCAGAUGUGAAAUCCCCCGGGCUUAACCUGGGAACUGCGUUUGAAACUACAAGGCUAGAGUGUGGCAGAGGGGGGUGGAAUUCCACGUGUAGCAGUGAAAUGCGUAGAGAUGUGGAGGAACACCGAUGGCGAAGGCAGCCCCUGGGUUAACACUGACGCUCAGGCACGAAAGCGUGGGGAGCAAACAGG
rnacentral:rRNA from 1 species